GCUGCAAAGUUGGCUGGCCUCUUGUCUCUGGGGAAUUGGUCUGAAGUGGUUUCCCCAGACUUGGAACAUGCCUUACACAGUAGAAUUGUAUAACUUUACAUACACGGUGUUGCCACACAU